GUGGUUCAGUGGUAGACUUCUCACCUUCCAUGCGAGAGACCUGGGUUCAAUUCCCGGC
rnacentral:tRNA from 1 species